rnacentral:rRNA from 1 species
GGGUAUACGGAGCUAACUCCCAACCCAUGUGAACAUACCUACUAGGUUGCUUCGGCGGGAUUAGCCCCGGGCGCCUCGUGUGCCCCGGAUCAGGCGCCCGCCUAGGAAACUUAAUUCUUGUUUUAUUUUGGAAUCUUCUGAGUAGUUUUUACAAAUAAAUAAAAACUUUCAACAACGGAUCUCUUGGUUCUGGCAUCGAUGAAGAACGCAGCGAAAUGCGAUAAGUAAUGUGAAUUGCAGAAUUCAGUGAAUCAUCGAAUCUUUGAACGCACAUUGCGCCCGCCAGUAUUCUGGCGGGCAUGCCUGUCUGAGCGUCAUUUCAACCCUCAUGCCCCUAGGGCGUGGUGUUGGGGAUCGGCCAAAGCCCGCGAGGGACGGCCGGCCCCUAAAUCUAGUGGCGGACCCGUCGUGGCCUCCUCUGCGAAGUAGUGAUAUUCCGCAUCGGAGAGCGACGAGCCCCUGCCGUUAAACCCCCAACUUUCCAAGGUUGACCUCAGAUCAGGUAGGAAUACCCGCUGAACUUAAGCAUAUCAAA